ACUUAUAUUUACAUUUUUGAUCGGUAACAUUGCUGAAUUGUGUUAACAACACGUUUCCAUAUAUUUCACAUUGUUGACCUCCACAACGAAGCGUCAUAUAUGUUCAAAAUGACGAAAACACAAAACAAAGUUCCAUCAAAUGAAGAGCUGAUUUAAAAAGCAAGUAUAUAUACAUAUAUAUUAACUCGGGAGUAUAUACAAUGUAAUGGAAAACUUCCAUAUGUCUAAUUUUAGGGGGAGGGAUUAUGAUUUAAACGGAGGUGCGCAAGGUUACACUUACAGUUGUGAUGCGCUUUCACUUUUGAAAAGUGAAGACGUUGAAGAUCGACUUUGAAAGAUAUUCUGUGGAUAUUACGGAGUUAAUAGAAGACUGAAGUAGAGGAACAUGAAGAACAGGGCGACAGUCGUCAGGUGUAGGCAAAUCAUUUAUAGACAGGACAGAGGACGAAGCUCAGACGAAUCUCCGGAAAGAACUGAACAUCGCAGAGAAUUUGGAAGUGCACGAAGGUUUUUAACGACGCCUCGAUUCAAUGUCCCGACAUAAACUUGGAAACCGACAUCAAUCACCUAUGGCUGCUGUGGCACGGAGGCAGUGCGGUGUGUAGGUCUUAGUGCACUUUGACGACUUAUCAGCCAUACAUCCUGUGAAAGACCUAAAGCCUAAUGUAAUCGUCUAGCAGUAGGUACAAUUCCGCAUUACCGAUGACCAGGGUGAAGUUGUAGCAGACGAAAUUUUAGACAUACAUUAGUAAGACAUUGUUUACAGAAAUGCUUUUAUCAAUUAUUGAUGAAAGUCCACUGCUUGGAAUACAAAUAAAACCAUAAAUAC